rnacentral:rRNA from 1 species
UACGGAGGGUGCAAGCGUUAUCCGGAUUCACUGGGUUUAAAGGGUGCGUAGGCGGGCAGGUAAGUCAGUGGUGAAAUCUCCGAGCUUAACUCGGAAACUGCCUUUGAUACUAUCUGUCUUGAAUAUGGUGGAGGUAAGCGGAAUAUGUCAUGUAGCGGUGAAAUGCUUAGAUAUGACAUAGAACACCUAUUGCGAAGGCAGCUUACUACGCCUAUAUUGACGCUGAGGCACGAAAGCUAGGGGAGCAAACGGG